rnacentral:rRNA from 1 species
AACGAACGCUGGCGGCAGGCCUAACACAUGCAAGUCGAGCGAAGCCUUCGGGCUUAGCGGCGGACGGGUGAGUAACGCGUGGGAACGUGCCCUUUGGUACGGAAUAGCCCCGGGAAACUGGGAGUAAUACCGUAUGUGGUCGAGAGACGAAAGAUUUAUCGCCAAAGGAUCGGCCCGCGUUGGAUUAGGUAGUUGGUGGGGUAAUGGCCUACCAAGCCGACGAUCCAUAGCUGGUUUGAGAGGAUGAUCAGCCACACUGGGACUGAGACACGGCCCAGACUCCUACGGGAGGCAGCAGUGGGGAAUCUUAGACAAUGGGGGAAACCCUGAUCUAGCCAUGCCGCGUGAUCGAUGAAGGCCUUAGGGUUGUAAAGAUCUUUCAGUGGGGAAGAUAGUGACUGUACCCACAGAAGAAGCCCCGGUUAACUCCGUGCCAGCCGCCGCCGUAAAAC